GUACCUGGGCGUUAUCUCCGAACCUGCUCAAUUGUUAACCAGAGUCAACACAAUUUCCCCCCUCAGGCAGGCUCCCAGUGCUUUUGGUUUUUGUGUCAAACUAACCUUCAUGCAGUCGGACUAAAUAUGCAGCCAAAAUAAUAAAAGAGCUCCGAAAAGAAUAAAGAAGAAAAAAAAUAAAAUAAAGUCAAUUAGUCCGGAUUGAGGAAGUUGUGGGUGAGUAAUGGGUUAACGGCGGAAGGCCUCGCCUCACCUUUAUUGCGCGUCACCCAGCUCUGUAAAGUGGUCUCACCAUCCCAGCAUCCGAACCGAAGGGGGAAAAUCACCGCCCCUUGCUGCCGCCAGACGCGCCUCUUCCUCUCGGUCGAGCUCACGUCUACCCAUCGGUCUCCGCCCCGCCGCUCCAUCACCGUCACAUACACCCAGAAGACAACGGGAACUGAGGGAAUAACGACAAUUUACCGGCGAAACGGGGAAUCAUGAAGGACCGCAUGCAAGAACUUAAACAUGGGAAGGAGACGACUGAGGAGGAAGAUGAAGUCGCUGUUGGGAUGGAGAAAGGCUUUAUGGACGAAUUCUUUGAACAGGUGGAAGAGAUCCGGGGUUUUAUCGAAUCGCUGGCAGAGAAAGUUGAAGAGGUGAAGAGGAAGCACAGCGCCAUCCUUGCCUCACCCAACCCAGAUGAGAAAACUAAAGCUGAACUUGAGGAUCUUAUGGCAGACAUCAAGAAGUUGGCCAAUAAAGUACGCUCCAAGUUAAAGAGUAUCCAACAAACCAUUGAGCAAGAGGAGGGGCAGAACAGGUCAUCGGCCGACCUGAGGAUACGUAAAACACAGCACUCCACACUGUCCCGUAAAUUUGUCGAGGUGAUGUCAGAAUACAACACCACUCAGUCGGACUACAGGGAGCGCUGCAAGGGACGCAUUCAGAGACAGCUGGAGAUUACUGGAAGAAACACAACAAACGAGGAGCUGGAGAGCAUGUUGGAAAGUGACAACCCAGCCAUCUUCACCUCGGGGAUAAUUAUGGACAACAUCACCCAGCAAGCAAUGAAUGAGAUCGAGACGCGGCACAAUGAGAUUAUCAAGCUGGAAAACAGUAUCAGGGAGCUUCACGACAUGUUCAUGGACAUGGCCAUGCUGGUGGAAAGCCAGCUCUGGAGAACACAGAACGUUGUUCCCCUUCUAACACAGCAAGGGCAACCUCGUGAACAACAUUGAGCACUGUGUUAUGGAGGCCCAGGAUUAUGUGGAGCAGGGAAAGGACAACAUCCCAAAAUGCAAAAAGUUCAAAAAGACCAACAGACGGAAGGUGAUCCUGAUAGGAGUUUGUGUUGCGAUUUGUAUCACCAUCCUCAUUAUUUCGCUCGCAGUGGGACUCAGUUAGGAGCCUAAAAAAUCAUCACAUGGCAGACAGGACAGUCAUUAUGAGUGACAUGAAUGCCAAAAAAACACACACAACUGUUCAUGUGUUAAAUGUACUGUAUGGUGGCCUCUGCAAUGUGUGCAGUGAGCACUGCUUGUGAACUGGGAAGCAAGUCAUUGCAUUACUGGUCUGAGGUCUGUGCAGCAAGCUAUGAACACUCAAAUAUAAUCUGCAUCAACUUUUAUUCUUAAUGUGUGCUUCAGCUCCAGGAACGGUUUGUGCUUGGCCUGUUUGAGUUGCAAAGCUUUGUCAUGUGCAUGUUUCUCUCUGUUGUCCCACAAACACAAAAUGAAGAUGAUUGCAUUAUUACUAAAAUGGUCAUCAAAAUAAGCUUAUUACCAAUUAGUUUUAACAAUGAUGUAUUACUAAAGGUAAAACAAAAUAGUUAAACAUUUUGGGAAAUCCACUUUUGAGUCAGGUUGGUCAAAUCUGUGCCUUAGAGAUUUUAUCGUUUCGCAGCCAUAGUGACUUUAUGGAGGAGUGAUCAGGAAUUACAGCAAUCUCCAAAAAUGUAUUCUCCCUUCCAGGCUUUCAUCUGUAGUGUUUAUGCUUCUGUGCAAUUUCUGCUUUUGGAAAAGUCUAACAAAUAUAAAACAAUUGACUUGUGGUGAUGUGUUAACAGCUGGGUGGAUGUUUUCUUUUUUGUUUAGUUUUUUUUUAAUAAUUGUGAUUUUUUUUUAAUCAUGAUUUUUAAGAUACUGCAACAAUGUAGAGAUUUUAUUUCCUUCUCACCCGAUACAUCCACGAUAUAUCGAUGAAUCUGAAAUGACCAGGUAAAUUAAAUAAGCUAUUAAUAGUUUAUGAGUGAAAUUAGGAUUUAUAACACACAAACAAAUGUAAGUUUAUAGUUGCACAUUUAAAAGUUUAGUCAGUUACUUUACAGAGCUUAAAAUGAGGUAAAAAGAACCUCAGAUGAAUAACAACACAUGACAUAUGUGUCAUUAUUUAUUCUUUAAAAAUCCAAAAUGCAGAACCAGUGUGUGAAAGACUAAGUACAUUCUUAAUACUUUCAGAGGAAUUAAAAGGGUAAGUAGCAGCCACGUGCUGCUAAUCUAAUGCAUUUGAUAGUGGAGAAGGGUUCUUGUUAAGGUCCAUGCCUCAACGAGAACCAUCCCUGUGUACUGCUCUGUCCCUCAUCCUUCUCUGUUGUUGGGAACGAGUCUUGGGUCGCCAGGUUCUCUGUUAACGCUGUGCCUUUGACGUGUCCUUUCAGAGCGUCGGGGCACUUUUCUCCCUGAAGCUCAGAGAUCAAGAUAUUUUCAUGUCUCCGAAACAGGUCUUUGAGCAGAAGGAUGACCAGUUUGAGGGCCUAGCACCGAAGGCGCUAACCCUAACCCCCCUAACCCUAUAGCAUAUCAAACACCUCAUGAUGAUUUGGGUUGUGCAACCACAGAAGCUGGGCACCUUACAGUCACUGACAAUGAUCCCAAGCAUGGCAGCAAAACGACAACAGAAUGGCUGAAAAAGAAAAGAAUCAAGGUGUUUCAAUGGCCAAGUUAAAGUCCAGACUUCAACUAGAUUGAAAUGCUCUGGUGGAAUAGCUGUGCUUCAUUAAAUGCGCAUAAAUCUCAACAAGCUGAAGCAAUGUUAAGAAGAGUAAGCCAAAAAAAAAAACCAUUAAUAUAAAAUGCUGAGAAAUAUGUACAGAAAAUGAUUAUUUCAAGUUAUUGCUGUUGGAGUUGGUUCUACGAACUACUGAAUCAUGUUGUUUACUUAGCUUUUCACACACUGCUUCUGCACUUUGCCUUUUUUUUAAACAAAUAAUGUCACAUGUUUUGGUUUAUUGAGUAAAUUAAAAUUGAAUGAACUAA